AUUUUGCGAGAUUUUAUAUAAAAAUGACCCUCCUUUUUAAUGACAUCCUAUAUUAAAAUGCAUUUACGUUUGAUAAUUGUAUAUUGAUUUGGGGUAUGAUCUACAUAUCAUAUAUAAAUAUGCUAUUGAUAUGUGCACCAAACGAUGUCAAUUCAUAUAUAAAAACUUAAGGGUAGCUGGUAUAUUUAUGAAUUAUGAGUGAUGAUGAGUUAGUGCUUAUAUAAGCAUGGGUCAAAUAUUGUAUAUAAGUAUAUGUCAUUCUUUCUUAAAUAUUUAUAUAACUAUAGGUACUGAAUUUCAGUGAAUGUUAUAUUAAAAU
rnacentral:lncRNA from 1 species